rnacentral:rRNA from 1 species
AGAGCGAACGCUGGCGGCAUGCCUAAUACAUGCAAGUCGAACGAACACUUCGGUGUUAGUGGCGCACGGGUGCGUAACGCGUGGGAAUCUGCCCUUGGGUUCGGAAUAACAGUUGGAAACGACUGCUAAUACCGGAUGAUGACGAAAGUCCAAAGAUUUAUCGCCCAGGGAUGAGCCCGCGUAGGAUUAGCUAGUUGGUGAGGUAAAGGCUCACCAAGGCGACGAUCCUUAGCUGGUCUGAGAGGAUGAUCAGCCACACUGGGACUGAGACACGGCCCAGACUCCUACGGGAGGCAGCAGUAGGGAAUAUUGGACAAUGGGCGCAAGCCUGAUCCAGCAAUGCCGCGUGAGUGAUGAAGGCCUUAGGUUGUAAAGCUACUUUUACCCGAGAUGAUAAUGACAGUAUCGGAGAAUAAGCCCCGGACUAACCGUCCGCGCCAGCCAGCCGACGGU